GAGGGUACAGCUCAGGUGGUGGAGCACAUGCUUAGCAUGCAUGAGGUCCUGGGUUCAACCCCCAGUACCCCCU
rfam:Camelus ferus unplaced genomic scaffold scaffold1437, whole genome shotgun sequence.